CCUACGGACAGCUGCAGUGGGGAAUAUUGGACAAUGGGCGAAAGCCUGAUCCAGCCAUGCCGCGUGUGUGAAGAAGGCCUUCGGGUUGUAAAGCACUUUCAGUGGGGAAGAAAGCCUUGGGGCUAAUACCCUCGAGGAAGGACAUCACCCACAGAAGAAGCACCGGCUAACUCCGUGCCAGCAGCCGCGGUAAUACGGAGGGUGCGAGCGUUAAUCGGAAUUACUGGGCGUAAAGCGCGCGUAGGCGGUCUGAUAAGCCGGUUGUGAAAGCCCCGGGCUCAACCUGCGAACGGCAUCCGGAACUGUCAGGAUAGAGUGCAGGAGAGGAAGGUAGACUUCCCGGUGUAGCGGUGAAAUGCGUAGAGAUCGGGAGGAAUACCAGUGGCGAAGGCGGCCUUCUGGACUGACACUGACGCUGAGGUGCGAAAGCGUGGGUAGCAAACAGGAUUAGAUACCCCAGUAGUC
rnacentral:rRNA from 1 species